rnacentral:rRNA from 1 species
AACGAACGCUGGCGGCGUGCUUAACACAUGCAAGUCGAACGAGAAAUCGGGCACUCAGGCAACUGAGUGCCGGAGAGUAAAGUGGCGCACGGGUGAGUAACACGUGGGUAACCUACCCCCGAAUCCGGGAUAACCUCGCGAAAGCGUUGCUAAUACCGGAUAUUGUCCUUUUGGUUGUGACCUUUGGGAUGAAAGGCAACCUCUUCAUGAAAGUUGUCGUUCAGGGAUGGGCCCGCGUACCAUUAGCUUGUUGGUGGGGUAACGGCUCACCAAGGCUACGAUGGUUAGCUGGUCUGAGAGGAUGAUCAGCCACACUGGAACUGAAACACGGUCCAGACUCCUACGGGAGGCAGCAGUGAGGAAUUUUGCGCAAUGGGGGAAACCCUGACGCAGCAACGCCGCGUGAGUGAAGAAGGCUUUCGGGUCGU